rnacentral:lncRNA from 1 species
GUGAAUAUUGGGGAGAAAGUAUAGACGUUGGGGAAGGAUGUGAAGAUGCUGGAAAGAAGCCCUGGGGAAUGCAAGAGACGAGAGGACAGGGAGUGGAAGCAACUCCGUUCUUCUAUUGUAAUACAAGGGACCAACGAGCACACCGGUGUCCACGCAGAUCGAUACCUCCAUUUGAUGAACUAUAGUAAAACGGCACACGUCUGUAUGGAAGUUCUAUUUCACAACAGGAAGUGCGUCAUCUGUGUUCGAAGAAGCAGCGAAAACCCAAGCCGCCUUCUAAAAAUACCGCUUCAACCCAUGGAUUCCGUUUCUGUCAUCAAAGUACCUGUUAAAUUUCACUACAGGGAGACCUGUGCAUGAUUAAAAAUAGAACCGACUCUUAUGUAAACGUUCUCAAGAAAGCCAUUUUUAAAAACCAAGAUGGAGCUUCUUGGAGACUCCAAGACAAGAAACAACAGGUUGCCAGAAGACGGAUCGCUCGAUCAUAAAUGAUCUCUCCUCCUUCGAGAAGGUUCCAAAAUGCCUCCAGCUGUAACGUGCCUACUCUUUUCUAAGAACAGAAAGAAGAAACAGCGCGGAAUGAACAUCCCCCUAAUUGAGGGGCUUCUCUGGGUUGCUUUCCCAAACUCCCUCAGAACAUACUAAUUAAGUUACCAAAAGAAAGUUGAUUUUCAUAAAAACUGGAUUUGAUUAGGAUCUCGGGGAGAACUGAUUAGAGCCAAAUGCUUCCAGAGGUGGGUGUCAGGGGCUGCAGCCGCCUGUGCUUGGGGCUAAGUGAUGAAGGCCAAGGUCCCUCACUGUGGCUCCCUAUCUUCCCCCUCGCCCCCCUCCGUGAAGUGCUUGUGCUCCC